rnacentral:rRNA from 1 species
UAGGAUAGAGGCCUACCAUGGUUUUAACGGGUAACGGGGAAUUAGGGUUCGAUUCCGGAGAGGGAGCCUGAGAAACGGCUACCACAUCCAAGGAAGGCAGCAGGCGCGCAAAUUACCCAAUCCCGACACGGGGAGGUAGUGACAAUAAAUAACAAUACGGGGCUCAUUUGGGUCUCGUAAUUGGAAUGAGUACAAUUUAAAUCUCUUAACGAGGAACAAUUGGAGGGCAAGUCUGGUGCCAGCAGCCGCGGUAAUUCCAGCUCCAAUAGCGUAUAUUAAAGUUGUUGCAGUUAAAAAGCUCGUAGUUGAACUUCGGGGUUUACCCAUUGGUCAGGCUUAAUUGUCUGUACUGGUGAGAUAAAUCUCUACCUUCUGAGGAACUUUCAUGUCAUUAAUUUGGUGUGAUUGGAAAUCAGGACUGUUACUUUGAAAAAAUUAGAGUGUUUAAAGCAGGCUAACGUCUGAAUACAUUAGCAUGGAAUAAUGAGAUAGGACGGAUUGAUUCUAUUUCGUUGGUUUCUAGGGUCACCGUAAUGAUUAAUAGGGAUAGUUGGGGGCAUUAGUAUUCAAUUGUCAGAGGUGAAAUUCUUGGAUUUAUUGAAGACUAACUACUGCGAAAGCAUUUGCCAAGGAUGUUUUCAUUAAUCAAGAACGAAAGUUAGGGGAUCGAAGACGAUCAGAUACCGUCGUAGUCUUAACCAUAAACUAUGCCGAC